rnacentral:rRNA from 1 species
AGUGAACGCUGGCGGUAGGCCUAACACAUGCAAGUCGAACGGCAGCGCAGGAGAGCUUGCUCUCUGGGUGGCGAGUGGCGGACGGGUGAGGAAUACAUCGGAAUCUACUUUUUCGUGGGGGAUACCGUAGGGAAACUUACGCUAAUACCGCAUACGACCUACGGGUGAAAGAAGGGGACAUUCGGGCCUUGAGCGAUUGACUGAGCCGGUGUCGGGUUAGCUAGUUGGCGGGGUAAAGGCCCACCAAGGCGACGAUCCGUAGCUGGUCUGAGAGGAUGAUCAGCCACACUGGAACUGAGACACGGUCCAGACUCCUACGGGAGGCAGCAGUGGGGAAUAUUGGACAAUGGGCGCAAGCCUGAUCCAGCCAUACCGCGUGGGUGAAGAAGGCCUUCGGGUUGUAAAGCCCUUUUGUUGGGAAAGAAAUCCAGCUGGCUAAUACCCGGUUGGGAUGACGGUACCCAAAGAAUAAGCACCGGCUAACUUCGUGCCAGCAGCCGCCGUAA